rnacentral:rRNA from 1 species
UUCUUAAAGAAAAAAUUUUAAGUAAAUCCUGCUCAAUGUAAACAUAUCAAUAGCCGCAGUUCUACUGUGCUAAGGUAGCAUAAUAAUUUGCUUUCUAAAUAAAAGAUAGAAUGAAUGGAUUAACAAUAAUAAACUUCUUUAUUAUAAUAAAACCAAACUAAUACUAAAAUUAAAAAGUUUUAAUAAAAAAGUGGGACGACAAGACCCUAAUAAACUAAACUUUUAGUUGGGGCAACUUAAUAACAAAUUCUUAAAAAAAACAACACCACCCUAAAACAUUAUAAAGAAAUAGUUACUAUAGGGAUAACAGCGCAAUUUCUUUUAAAAGCUCUUAUUUAAAAAGAAUUUUACGACCUCGAUGUUGAAUUAAUUAUCCUUCAGGGUGAAAAAACUCAUUUAAGGCAGUCUGUUCGACUAUUAAAAAUUU